GCCGACGUGGUGAAAUUGGUAGACACGCUACCUUGAGGGGGUAGUGAGCAAUCGCUCGUGGAGGUUCGAGUCCUCUCGUCGGCACCA
rnacentral:tRNA from 1 species